rnacentral:rRNA from 1 species
UACGAAGGGGGCUAGCGUUGCUCGGAAUCACUGGGCGUAAAGGGUGCGUAGGCGGGUCUUAAGUCAGGGGUGAAAUCCUGGAGCUCAACUCCAGAACUGCCUUUGAUACUGAGGAUCUUGAGUUCGGGAGAGGUGAGUGGAACUGCGAGUGUAGAGGUGAAAUUCGUAGAUAUUCGCAAGAACACCAGUGGCGAAGGCGGCUCACUGGCCCGAUACUGACGCUGAGGCACAAAGCGUGGGGAGCAAACGG